UACGGGGGGGGCAAGCGUUUGUUCGGAAUUACUGGGCGUAAAGGGCUCGUAGGCGGCCAACUAAGUCAGACGUGAAAUCCCUCGGCUCAACCGGGGAACUGCGUCUGAUACUGGAUGGCUUGAAUCCGGGAGAGGGAUGCGGAAUUCCAGGUGUAGCGGUGAAAUGGCGUAGAUAUCUGGAGGAACACCGGUGGCGAAGGCGGCAUCCUGGACCGGCAUUGACGCUGAGGAGCGAAAGCCAGGGGAGCAACGGG
rnacentral:rRNA from 1 species